rnacentral:rRNA from 1 species
UUCUACGGGGCGCAGCAGUGGGGAAUAUUGCACAAUGGGGGAAACCCUGAUGCAGCGACGCCGCGUGAGUGAAGAAGUAUCUCGGUACGUAAAGCUCUAUCAGCAGGGAAGAAAAAAAGUCUUUGGCUUUGGACGGUACCUGACUAAGAAGCCCCGGCUAACUACGUGCCAGCAGCCGCGGUAAUACGUAGGGGGCAAGCGUUAUCCGGAUUUACUGGGUGUAAAGGGAGCGUAGGUGGCAUGGUAAGCCAGAAGUGAAAACCCGGGGCUCAACCCCGCGGAUUGCUUUUGGAACUAUCAGGCUG